rnacentral:rRNA from 1 species
AGUGAACGCUGGCGGCGUGCCUAAUACAUGCAAGUCGAACGGAGUGGCGCACGGGUGAGUAAUAUAUAGCUAAUCUGCCCCUUGCUGGGGGACAACAGUUAGAAAUGACUGCUAAUACUCCAUAGCAAGGGAUGGGACUAUAUCGUAUCAGCUAGUCGGUGGGGUAACGGCCUACCGAGGCUAUGACGCGUAACUGGUCUGAGAGGAUGAGCAGUCACAUUGGAACUGAGACACGGUCCAGAAUCCUACUGGAGGCAGCAGUAGGGAAUAUUGCGCAAUGGGGGAAACCCUGACGCAGCAACGCCGCGUGGAGUAUGAUACUUGUCGGAGAGUAAACUCCUUUUGUUAGGGAAGCGGUACCUAACGAAUAAGCAACGGCUAACUCCGUGCCAGCCGCCGCGGUAAUAC